rnacentral:rRNA from 1 species
UACGGGGGGGGCAAGCGUUGUUCGGAAUUACUGGGCGUAAAGAGCGCGCAGGCGGUCGCUCAAGUCGCGUGUGAAAGCCCCCGGCUCAACUGGGGAGGGUCACGCGAUACUGAUCGACUGGAAGGCAGGAGAGGGUAGUGGAAUUCCCGGUGUAGUGGUGAAAUGCGUAGAUAUCGGGAGGAACACCAGUGGCGAAGGCGACUACCUGGCCUGUUCUUGACGCUGAGGCGCGAAAGCUAGGGGAGCAAACGGG